rnacentral:misc_RNA from 1 species
UUUCCGUAGGUGAACCUGCGGAAGGAUCAUUAACACGUAUCCAAACGUAUCAACUGAUUGGUGGAAUUACAACUCGGGCUAGAACCUCUGGCAGGUUCAGCCCCCUUUUUUUGAAAACAAAACCUUUACCGGUCUGACGGAAACAAACAAUUGUGGCGCUGUCUUACGACAAAACCACGAUCAAGAUAUUAUUUGAACGCUGAACAACUUUUAGCAACGGAUAUCUUGGUUCUC